rnacentral:rRNA from 1 species
GACGAACGCUGGCGGCGUGCUUAACACAUGCAAGUCGAACGGAAAGGCCCUGCUUUUGUGGUGUGCUCGAGUGGCGAACGGGUGAGUAACACGUGAGUAACCUGCCCUUGACUUUGGGAUAACUUCAGGAAACUGGGGCUAAUACCGGAUAGGAGCUCCUGCUGCAUUGAGGGGGUUGGAAAGUUUCGGCGGUUGGGGAUGGACUCGCGGCUUAUCAGCUUGUUGGUGGGGUAGUGGCUUACCAAGGCUUUGACGGGUAGCCGGCCCGAGAGGGUGGCCGGGCACAAUGGGACUAGGAAACGGACCAGACUACUACGGGCGGCAACAGGGGGGAACAUUGGCCAAUGGGCAGAAGUCUGAUGACGCAACGACGGGGUCGGGAAGACCGACUUUGGGGUGUAAACCGCUUUCGCCUGUGACGAAGCGUGAGUGACGGUAAUGGGUAAAGAAGCACCGGCUAACUACGUG